GAUGAACGCUGGCGGCGUGCCUAAUACAUGCAAGUCGAGCGAACGGACGAGAAGCUUGCUUCUCUGACGUUAGCGGCGGACGGGUGAGUAACACGUGGAUAACCUACCUAUAAGACUGGGAUAACUUCGGGAAACCGGAGCUAAUACCGGAUAAUAUUUUGAACCGCAUGGUUCAAAAGUGAAAGACGGUCUUGCUGUCACUUAUAGAUGGAUCCGCGCUGCAUUAGCUAGUUGGUAAGGUAACGGCUUACCAAGGCAACGAUGCAUAGCCGACCUGAGAGGGUGAUCGGCCACACUGGAACUGAGACACGGUCCAGACUCCUACGGGAGGCAGCAGUAGGGAAUCUUCCGCAAUGGGCGAAAGCCUGACGGAGCAACGCCGCGUGAGUGAUGAAGGUCUUCGGAUCGUAAAACUCUGUUAUUAGGGAAGAACAAAUGUGUAAGUAACUAUGCACGUCUUGACGGUACCUAAUCAGAAAGCCACGGCUAACUACGUG
rnacentral:rRNA from 1 species